UACGUAGGGUGCGAGCGUUGUCCGGAAUUAUUGGGCGUAAAGAGCUCGUAGGCGGUGUGUCGCGUCGGCCGUGAAAACCUGGGGCUCAACUCUGGGCGUGCGGUCGAUACGGGCAUCACUGGAGUUCGGCAGGGGAGACUGGAAUUCCUGGUGUAGCGGUGAAAUGCGCAGAUAUCAGGAGGAACACCGGUGGCGAAGGCGGGUCUCUGGGCAUUACCUGACGGCUGAGGAGCGAAAGUGUGGGGAGCGAACAGG
rnacentral:rRNA from 1 species